UACAGAGGUCUCAAGCGUUGUUCGGAUUCAUUGGGCGUAAAGGGUGCGUAGGCGGCGCGGUAAGUCGGGUGUGAAAUCUUGGAGCUUAACUCCGAAACUGCAUUCGAUACUGCCGUGCUUGAGGACUGGAGAGGAGACUGGAAUUUACGGUGUCGCGGUGAAAUGCGUAGAUAUCGUAAGGAGGACCAGUGGCGAAGGCGGGUCUCUGGACAGUUCCUGACGCUGAGGCGCGAAGGCCAGGGGAGCAAACGGG
rnacentral:rRNA from 1 species